rnacentral:rRNA from 1 species
UACGGGAGGCAGCAGUGGGGAAUAUUGGACAAUGGGCGGAAGCCUGAUCCAGCCAUGCCGCGUGUGUGAAGAAGGCCUUUUGGUUGUAAAGCACUUUAAGCGAGGAGGAGGCUACUAGUACUAAUACUACUGGAUAGUGGACGUUACUCGCAGAAUAAGCACCGGCUAACUCUGUGCCAGCAGCCGCGGUAAUACAGAGGGUGCGAGCGUUAAUCGGAUUUACUGGGCGUAAAGCGUGCGUAGGCGGCUGAUUAAGUCGGAUGUGAAAUCCCUGAGCUUAACUUAGGAAUUGCAUUCGAUACUGGUCAGCUAGAGUAUGGGAGAGGAUGGUAGAAUUCCAGGUGUAGCGGUGAAAUGCGUAGAGAUCUGGAGGAAUACCGAUGGCGAAAGGCAGCCAUCUGGCCUAAUACUGACGCUGAGUACGAAAGGCAUGGGGAAGGCAAACAGGGAUUUAAGGAAUAACC